GCAGACACAUUCCAGCCAAUCAGCAGCAGACCCUCCCUCCCAGACCCUCCCACCUCCUGGACAGCAUCCAUUUUGAAGCUGCAUUCUUAGUGAGCUGUCCAGGAGGUGGGAGGGUCUGGGAGGGAGGGUCUGCUGCUGAUUGGCUAGAAUGUGUCU